GCCAUUUUGCAUUGGACUGGAUCGUGCAUAGUGAGAUGUCACUAGUCUACGAUCGCCAAAUUGUAGAGUAAAAUACACCUCACUACAGAGUCAGACGGUCUGUUUGAAUAUACAGCAUCAUUUCAUCGUCUAUAUGGUGGGACAACCUGCUAGACAGGGUAUGUAAGUUAUGCUACAAAGAUAUUGAUUUCUGUGAUGCAAAGCUAAAUUUUCAUCAUUCUAGUGUCACAUGAUCAUUUAGAAAUAAUUUUAAUAUGAUGAUUUAUUGUCAAUAUUGGAAACAGGUGGUUUAUUUUCCAAUAAAUGCAGGCAUGAUAAGCAUAAGAGACUUUUUUUCCAAACAUUUCACCGGUAGUGUACACACAUGGUGGGACACAAUAUUUCUGAAAAAGAAAAAUACAUACUCUUCACCUCACAAAAUCUUUAUCUGUCUCUAUAAAAACUAUUAUCUACAUAAAACAUUGUUAAAGAAAAUUAUUAAAUCAUGUGGUUUUUUUGUCUUGUUCUAGUUUAAGAAUGAAGACAUCUGUAUCUACCUCAAAGAAGGCUUGGAGAGACACAUUAAAGAAUAUGUGGUAAGUGUAUGUCAACCUACUCUAUUUUUAUAUCUAUCUAUUUAUACGCGUAUGUGCACGCGUAUGUAUGUGCACGCGUACGUGUGUAUAUAAAUAUCUUCUGGAUAACUAGAUGUUUAAACAAGGUGAUUAUCUGUUUUCAGGUCUUUUGAUGGUUUUGUGACUAAUGUUCUAUUAUUUUACACAUUUAAAUCAGUCUACAUAUUUUAAAUAUCAGAGUUUGUAAAACAAUUUGCCUGCACAUUUUUGAAAAUUUCACUGCUAUUGGGACUGAUUUUUUUGUUGUUCUUCUCCAGAAUUGUGAAAUUGGUGAGUUGGGGAUUGCACAGACAGUGGAAGUCUUGCAAAACCUACUUGGUGUCACACAUGGGUGUGAAAUUGUUUUUUGGACUCAUUUAUGCACUUAAACUGAACUACCUGAAGAACCUCAAGUGCACCUUUUGAAAAAAAUCCUAAGGGAACUGGACUUGAUACAACCGAGCAAUCACUGAAAGAUGCUUCAGUGAAUACCUGACAGACACGCUGAUGCAUCCCCCUCAAAGUGGGUACAUUUUUGUACAUUUAUAAGUGAACUUUAUAACAUUAAAGGAAUAUUGCACUUUCAUUAAACAAAAAUCCUGGUAAUUUACUGUCUGUCAUCCAAGAUGUUUGUCUUUUUUUUUGUUCAGUCGAGAAGAAAUUAAGUUUUUUGAGAAAAACAUUCCAGGAUUUUUCUUAAUUUAAUGGACCUUAUUGGACCUCAACAGUUUAGUUUCAAUGCAGUUUAAAAUUGCAGUUUCAAAGCAGCUUUAAAGGGCUCUAAGCAAUCCCAACCGAGGCAUAAGGGUUUUAUCUAUCCAAAAGAUUAUCAUUUUUGGCAAGAAAACUUUUAAAACACAACUUCUUGUCUUGCAUUAUCCAUGUGACACACAGUGCGACAUUGUGUACUAUGUAUUAACGUCGAAUGGUUACACAUCACAAAUGUGAAACGCACAUUUGUGGACCAUUUUAAAUAAUAAACGGACCCAAAGACAUUAAUUAGUAUCAUUUCACAUUCAACAACAUCUGAACGCUCCUCUUUCUCCCGGAACACUGGAGCGGUAGUUUCAAUUAUGUCAUGCUAGCGUGUCACACAGCUAGUGCAAAAUUUUGUGAUUUAAAAGUCCUCUUUUAUUUUUAUUUUUGAAAAGUACAAUCGUUUCGCUAGAUAAGACCCUUAUGCCUUAUUUGGGAUAAUUUAGAGCCCUUUUAAAUCUGCAUUGAAACUGUAAACUUGAGGUCGAAUAAAGUCUUAAAUUUAGAAAAAUCCUGGAAUGUUUAACUCAAACUUUAUUUCAUCUUGACUGAACAAAGUAAAACAUUAACAUAUGGGGUUAGAAAAUUAUCAGGAUUUUUGUUUUAUUCAAUUGGAAUAUUCCUUUAACAAUUUUAAAAGUUGGAAAGUUUUUGAAAAAUGUAAUUGAUGUAUAUCUAACAUGUAAUUAAAGAUGCAUGAAAAUUGUUCAUGGCACACAGCCACUCAAAACACUAAGCCAUGUGCCAUUUAUUUCAUUCUAAAUUAUUAUUACAUCAUGUCACAGAUUCUGUUGACACAGAAAAUGUUAAUGUUGUUGUCACUGAUUUAUGUCUACCUCGAGUUUUACAGGGUUUUUUGUAUUUCUGCAGCCUGUUUAAAUGUUUGCUCUUAUUUGUGGAUUGAGGUUGAUUGUGGCUGAAAUGUCUGAAACACACUUAUUAAUUUAUUUUUGCACACAAUACGAGGUGUAUAAGCCAUGGCUGUCAUGCUAGUUGUUAGCCGCUCUUUUUUUGCUGUCUUAUGAGUAAUGCCUUGAAGUAUUAAAUAAACUGAUAAAAUGUAAAACCAAGUGGUCUGGCUAUUCUGUUUUUUUAUUAUAGCAUAUUGUGAUUAAGGAGGGUGAAUGG